AUGGGAGGAAGGUUGUGGGUGUGUUCGGUUGGCAAGGAGCGAUAUGGAGAGAUGACUGAGUUUAGACUCGAUACGAGUGUGCCUCUGUUGGUGGUCACACAACGAAGGGAGGUAGGAAAUAAGCUACAAGGUGGUGGUGAUGAAAUAAUAUGGAAGAAGAAAAGAGGAAUUAAUUCCGUCAAAAUAGGUUUAUGGAUCCAGAGAAGAAAUGGGUUUUGUUCGUCUUGUAAUUUUGAUCUCCCUCCCCCAUCUGUUCGUAAUUUUGUUCAGAUUUUAAAGAUCCAAGGAUUGGAUUCUUUUCAGGAAAUAACUUAA